AUCCUCCCUCCCAGACCCUCCCACCUCCUGGACAGCUCACUAAGAAUGCAGCUUCACAAUGGAUGCUGUCCAGGAGGUGGGAGGGUCUGGGAGGGAGGGU
rnacentral:miRNA from 1 species